rnacentral:rRNA from 1 species
GCGCUUUAUGAUAAGCCCGCGGCCUAUCAGCUAGUUGGUGAGGUAACGGCUCACCAAGGCAAAGACGGGUAGCUGGUCUGAGAGGACGACCAGCCACACUGGAACUGAGACACGGUCCAG